AUACUUAUCUAGCAGGGAAGAUACCAUGAUCACGUAGGUGGCUUUCCCAGGGCGAGGUUCACCCAUUGCACUUGGGGUGUGUUGACCUCUGCGAUUUCCCCAAAUGCGGGAAACUCGACUGUAUAAUUUUUGCUAGUGGAGGAUUGCGUUCGCGCUCUCCCCUG
ensembl:snRNA U1 U1 spliceosomal RNA